GAUGAACGCUAGCUACAGGCUUAACACAUGCAAGUCGUGGGGCAGCAUGAAGGAAGCUUGCUUCCUUUGAUGGCGACCGGCGCACGGGUGAGUAACGCGUAUCCAACCUUCCCCUUACUAGAGGAUAGCCCGGCGAAAGUCGGAUUAAUACUCUAUGUUCUCCUUUUGCAGGCAUCUAACGAGGAGCAAAGAUUCGUCGGUAAGGGAUGGGGAUGCGUUCCAUUAGCCAGCCGGCGGGGUAACGGCCCACCGGGGCGACGAUGGAUAGGGGUUCUGAGAGGAAGGUCCCCCACACUGGAACUGAGACACGGUCCAGACUCC
rnacentral:rRNA from 1 species